AGUGAACGCUGGCGGUAGGCCUAACACAUGCAAGUCGAACGGCAGCACAGGAGAGCUUGCUCUCUGGGUGGCGAGUGGCGGACGGGUGAGGAAUACAUCGGAAUCUACUCUGUCGUGGGGGAUAACGUAGGGAAACUUACGCUAAUACCGCAUACGACCUACGGGUGAAAGCAGGGGAUCUUCGGACCUUGCGCGAUUGAAUGAGCCGAUGUCGGAUUAGCUAGUUGGCGGGGUAAAGGCCCACCAAGGCGACGAUCCGUAGCUGGUCUGUGAGGAUGGUCAGCCACACUGGAACUGAGACACGGUCCAGACUCCUACGGGAGGCAGCAGUGGGGAAUAUUGGACAAUGGGCGCAAGCCUGAUCCAGCCAUACCGCGUGGGUGAAGAAGGCCUUCGGGUUGUAAAGCCCUUUUGUUGGGAAAGAAAUCCAGCGGGCUAAUACCCGGUUGGGAUGACGGUACCCAAAGAAUAAGCACCGGCUAACCUCGUGCCAGCCGCCGCCGUAA
rnacentral:rRNA from 1 species